UGGGAAAUCCUCCUUACUAUGUGUAAGCAU
rnacentral:piRNA from 1 species